rnacentral:rRNA from 1 species
UACGAAGGGGGCUAGCGUUGUUCGGAAUUACUGGGCGUAAAGCGUGCGCAGGCGGUGAUGUAAGACAGUUGUGAAAUCCCCGGGCUCAACCUGGGAACUGCAUCUGUGACUGCAUCGCUGGAGUGCGGCAGAGGGGGAUGGAAUUCCGCGUGUAGCAGUGAAAUGCGUAGAUAUGCGGAGGAACACCGAUGGCGAAGGCAAUCCCCUGGGCCUGCACUGACGCUCAUGCACGAAAGCGUGGGGAGCAAACAGG